GAUGAGAACGCAGCGAAAUGCGAUAAGUAAUGUGAAUUGCAGAAUUCAGUGAAUCAUCGAAUCUUUGAACGCACAUUGCGCCCGCCAGUAUUCUGGCGGGCAUGCCUGUUCGAGCGUCAUUACAACCCUCAGGCCCCCGGGCCUGGCGUUGGGGAUCGGCGGAGCCCCCCGUGGGCACACGCCGUCCCCCAAAUACAGUGGCGGUCCCGCCGCAGCUUCCAUCGCGUAGUAGCUAACACCUCGCGACUGGAGAGCGGCGCGGCCACGCCGUAAAACACCCAACUCUUCUGAAGUUGACCUCGAAUCAGGUAGGAAUACCCGCUGAACUUAAGCAUAUCAAUAAGCGGAGGA
rnacentral:misc_RNA from 1 species